UAUCAAUAUCAUGCUCUCAAUGGGUAUGAUAAUUGGAAUGAGUACAACCUAAAAUCCUUAACGAGGAUCAAUUGGAGGGCAAGUCUGGUGCCAGCAGCCGCGGUAAUACCAGCUCCAAUAGCGUAUGCUAAAGUUGUUGCAGUUAAAAGGCUCGUAGUCGAACCUAUGAUCCAGCGAACCUCGCCCAAUCUCUAGUAGGUUGCGAGCGAGCCGUGCGCGGAUCAUUCUUCUGGAGAACUUCAUCACCCUUGAUUGGGUUUUUUUGAUGUUGCUAUUCAGAUCGUUUACUGUGAGAAAAUCAGAGUGUUCAAAGCAGGCUUUAAUGCUUGAAUGGUUCAGCAUGGAAUAAUAAGAUAAGACUUCGGUUUUGUGUUGUUGGCUCUUUACGAACCAAAGUAAUGAUUGAAAGGGAUAGUUGGGGGUGCUAGUAUUGUAUGGUCAGCGGUGAAAUGCGAGGACCCAUAUAAGACUAACUUAUGCGAAAGCAUUCACCAAGGAUAUCUUCUUUGAUCAAGAACGAAAGUUGGGGGAUCGAAGACGAUCAGAUACCGUCGUAGUCUCAACCAUAAACUAUGCCAACUGAGGAUUGGCAGACGUUGUUAUAUGACCCUGUCAGAACUCUAUGAGAAAUCAAAGUCUCUGGGUUCUGGGGGGAGUAUGGUCGCAAGGCUGAAACUUAAAGGAAUUGACGGAAGGGCACCACCAGGAGUGGAGCCUGCGGCUUAAUUUGAUUCAACACGGGAAAACUUACCAGGUCCAGACAUAGUAAGGAUUGACAGAUUGAAGAUCUUUCUUGAUUCUAUGGAUAGUGGUGCAUGGCCGUUCUUAGUUGGUGGAGCGAUUUGUCUGGUUAAUUCCGUUAACGAACGAGACCUCAGCCUACUAAUUAGUUUGCGGAAUGGCGACAUUGCGUAAAUCUUCUUAGAGGGACUAUCAGGUAAGCAACUGAUGGAAGUAUGAGGCAAUAACAGGUCUGUGAUGCCCUUAGAUGUUCUGGGCCGCACGCGCGCUACACUGAUACAAUCAACGAGUUUUAUUUCUCCUUUGCCGAAAGGCAUGGGUAACCUUGUGAAAUUGUAUCGUGAUAGGGCUUGACGAUUGUAAUUAUUUGUCACAAACGAGGAAUUCCUAGUAAGCGCAAGUCAUCAACUUGCACUGAUUACGUCCCUGCCCUUUGUACACACCGCCCGUCGCUCCUACCGAUUGAAUGUUAAGGCGAACCCUCCAGAGUCGCGGACGAGUCUGGGCAACCUUUCUCGACCAACCGGUGAAGUUGUGUAAGCCUUGACAUUUAGAGGAAGGAAAAGUCGUA
rnacentral:rRNA from 1 species